UACAACCUGUACUACAUAAAAUGAUUCUGCCCUUUGGUGGAUUAUUAAAUGGCCAUUGUCCAUCAACAGACUUCCCAGAACUGCCAACUCUAACUUCUGGUGAACAUGGUUGGAAGAACAGUCUACACUACCAGCCUUCUGUAGUGACCACCAUAAUGUACUCCAAUGGCAAAAGGAUCCAAUCCAGGAUACCAAACUGCAUCUAGAACUCCAACCUUUGAGGAAAAUUAGGACCAGAGUUAGAGCUAUAAAGACCUCAGAUCUAAUGGAUAGAGACUUAGGUUUGGAAUCAGGAAGAGUAAAUAGAAAUAGCACAGAUGUAAGUCUUGGAAAAACCUUAACUUCAAAGAUGCAGCCAUCAUUAUGUUUUACUUCAGGCAAUUUAUGUAUCUGAUGGAAAUCUCAGGUCAUCUGGUAUUCCCCUUUAUUGUCAGAAUUUAGCAAGGGCUCUUUUAAGUCAAAACAUUGAAAACCCUAUUAACUGUGAUACACUCCUGGACUUAAGCAAAGGGCAGUAUCUCAGAGAUUUAGCAGUAUCAUCUAGAUGAAAAUGUGUAUAUAAUAUUCUGAGAUAUAGUUAUCUUCAUACGUAGUUACUAUCUUAUGUAUCUCAUCUCCUUCCAGUUUAUGCCUUAUCCCUUGACCUGUAGCUACAGUAAGCAUCACAAUGUUUCUUUAGUUUGUUCAUUCACCCAAAACAGGUAUUGAGAACUACUUUGUGCUAAGCACUGGGCUGAGCUCUGUGGACCCAUUAGUCUUUUGGAUGAACCCAGACAGGAUAGCCAGGCUUUAUUGUACAGUGGAUAAAUGCUAAUAGAGGUAUUCCUAGAGUGCUGGGGAAAGAAGCAUAGAAGACAUGCAUGGAGAAGAGGAAACUCAUGCAAAAGACAUGGAAGCAUGAGGUAGCAUGGCCUUUUGAGUGUUCAUGCCUUGCCUGGGAGACACGGCAGGGACCGGAACUGGAUGUGUGGGUGGGGGCUUGGGAUGACAAAGACCUUGGAUGCCAACUGAGGGGUCUGAAUUAAUCAUGCCGAGGAUGGGGAACCAACGAUCAAAUUUUGCUUUGGAAAGAUCAGUGUAGAGAAUGGAUUGCCGGAGGAAAGAAUUUGAAGCAGGGAAAGCAGAGGGAACUUUUGGGGUAGUGUGGUUUAUGCAAGAAACUACAAAGCCCUCCUUUCUCUUCUUUGCUUGACCAGCAUCUAAAUCAUCCAUAUAGGAAUAGGUUGAAAUGCUACUUCCUCUGAGAAGCCUUUUUUCCCUACUCCUCAGGACAUACAUAGUCACUCACUCCUAUAGCUCUUUGCUCAUAAUUUAAUUAUAGUAUUUAUCACUGAGUGUUGUACGGAUUGUUUGUCAUGUCUAUCUCCCUACUACAGUGAGUUUUCUAGGUCAGGGCCUCUGUCUUAUUCAUCUUGGCAUCUUUAGCAUUUAGGACAGUGCCUUGCACAGAGUGUCUGCUCAAACAUUUGUUGAGUGAGAGACAGAAUGAAUAUUUGCCAAUCACGGAUAGAAUGCAUGAGAAAGUUGAUCUUUCCCCCCAAACUGAAUAUUCAUUAUUACCCAAAUUAAUUUUUGCAAAAUUCCAUGCACGAUCAUUUAAUUAGUCCAAUUGAGGAAACAAGGAAAUGAGACUCAAAGAAGAAACUGUAAGUCUUUAAGCAAUUGAUAUAGAUUAGAAUUGCUUGGUCAUGAUUAGAUAAUCAAAAUUUGUGAGUUAGCAAGUAAAAAAGAGAAAUGUUUAUGGAUGCAAACUCAUUGUGGAAUAUAUUAUAAAAAUGAAGUUGUGUGAUUUACCUCAACUGUAUUAUGUGGACAGAAAUAUCUUUAGUUCUGAGGGUUAUCAGUGGGGGUAAGCAAAAUCUCUGUUGCUGCUGAGUGCUAAUUUUCUGGGAAAAGAACUCGAUUUAGCCUAUUUGGGUCUCUGUUGCCUAACUUAUAAAUAGUCACUUGAACCGGGGGUCACAAAAGGAAAUGCCUAGAGGGGCCAGGUAAGUAGCAGAAAUGAACAAAGGCAGCUGUUGCAAUAAACUAGGAUGUUGGAAACACUUGUGAACUAGAAUCAUGCCUGACCCAUCUCAAGGUGACAGCCCUUACUCCGAUUCAACAGAUAGCUGACAUGCAGGAACUUAGGGUCAGUUUGCUGUAAUUUUUUUUUUUUGAGAAGCCAAAUAUCUCAAUUUUUUAAUAGAAACUGU